rnacentral:tRNA from 1 species
GGAGGUUUAGCUCAGCGGCAUAAGCGCCUGCCUUGAAAGCAGGCAGUCGUGAGUUCAAUCCCCCCAGUACCG